rnacentral:rRNA from 1 species
GACAGAGGGUGCAAACGUUGUUCGGAAUUACUGGGCGUAAAGCGCGUGUAGGCGGCUUGGCAAGUCGGGUGUGAAAGCCCUGGGCUCAACCCAGGAAGUGCACUCGAAACUGCUUCGCUCGAGUAUCGGAGAGGAAAGCGGAAUUCUCGGUGUAGAGGUGAAAUUCGUAGAUAUCGAGAGGAACACCGGUGGCGAAGGCGGCUUUCUGGACGAUUACUGACGCUGAGACGCGAAAGCGUGGGGAGCAAACAGGAUUAGAAACCCCGUGU